rnacentral:misc_RNA from 1 species
UUCAUCACUGUUAUUAGAACGUGGUCUUUUUAUGUAUACAACAGUUCUACUUACCACUUGGAUGAAUCCAAGUGCCUGAUUAAUAUGAGGUCAUAAUUGCAGAUACUAAUGGUUGAUACAUCUGUUCUAUUCUAGAAGGUAAAAGAAUGAAUCCAUACAAUUUAUUCAGAGGGAACCUCAGUAAUUUCUUUAUUAUCAUUUCUGGUGAAUCCAUACAAUUUAUUCAGAGGGAGCCUCAGUAAUUUCUUUAUUAUCAGUUGUGGCUAACAACUAAUGAUUUGGAAGUGAUGAUUCAUCUCUGUAUGCAGAAUUUAUGGAUU